rnacentral:rRNA from 1 species
UACGGAGGGUGCGAGCGUUAAUCGGAUUUACUGGGCGUAAAGGGUGCGUAGGUGGUUUAAUAAGUUAUGUGUGAAAGUUCUGGGCUUAACCUGGGGAUGUCAGAUAAGACUGUUAGACUAGAGUAUGGGAGAGGGUAGUGGAAUUUCCGGUGUAGCGGUGAAAUGCGUAGAUAUCGGAAGGAACACCGGUGGCGAAGGCGGCUACCUGGCCUGAUACUGACACUGAGGCACGAAAGCGUGGGGAGCAAACAGG